GACGUAGGGUGCGAGCGUUGUCCGGAUUUAUUGGGCGUAAAGAGCUCGUAGGCGGCUCGUCGCGUCGACCGUGAAAACCCGCGGCUUAACUGCGGGCUUGCGGUUGAUACGGGCGGGCUAGAGUUCGGUAGGGGAGACUGGAAUUCCUGGUGGAGCGGUGAAAUGCGUAGAUAUCUGGAGGAAUACCGGUGGCGAAGGCGGCAUCCUGGACCGAUAUUGACACUGAUGAGCGAAAGCUAGGGGAGCAAACGGG
rnacentral:rRNA from 1 species